rnacentral:rRNA from 1 species
GGAAUCUUCCACAAUGGACGCAGGUCUGAUGGAGCAACGCCGCGUGAGUGAAGAAGGUCUUCGGAUCGUAAAACUCUGUUGUUAGAGAAGAACACGAGUGAGAGUAACUGUUCAUUCGAUGACGGUAUCUAACCAGCAAGUCACGGCUAACUACGUGCUAG